rnacentral:lncRNA from 1 species
UCUUUGUCUAAAAGGAGAAGAAUUAGGCACUGUGGCCUGAUUGAUCCCAACUUGAUGUUUGUUUGUGUUGACAUUGAAAGACAUAGAGUCUGGACUAAACUGAGAAAUGGACUGGACUUGUCUCUGUUUCUCAUCAUUGAGGACUAUAUUAUAGACACUGUCAAGGGUAGGAGCAGGCUGCAUCAUCAGUAAGUUACUCCUUAUCCCCAUGUAUGCUUCAUUAAGGCCCAUGAGAAACUGAAACACCUUAUUCUCAU